rnacentral:rRNA from 1 species
GACGAAGGAUGCAAGCGUUAUCCGGAUUCAUUGGGUUUAAAGGGAGCGUAGGUGGCCUUAUAAGUCAGUGGUGAAAUCUCUCAGCUUAACUGAGAAAUUGCCAUUGAUACUGUAGGGCUUGAGUACAGAUGCCGUUGGCGGAAUAUGACAUGUAGUGGUGAAAUACAUAGAGAUGUCAUGGAACACCGAUUGCGAAGGCAGCUGACGAAACUGUAACUGACACUGAGGCUCGAAAGUGCGGGGAUCAAACAGG